GAAUGUAGUUUAGUGGUAGAACUUCAGCCUUCCAAGCUGACCAUGUGGGUUCGAUUCCCAUCAUUCG
rnacentral:tRNA from 1 species